rnacentral:rRNA from 1 species
AGUAAAAGUCGUAACAAGGUUUCCGUAGGUGAACCUGCGGAAGGAUCAUUAAAGAGUAAGGGUGCUCAGCGCCCGACCUCCAACCCUUUGUUGUUAAAACUACCUUGUUGCUUUGGCGGGACCGCUCGGUCUCGAGCCGCUGGGGAUUCGUCCCAGGCGAGCGCCCGCCAGAGUUAAACCAAACUCUUGUUAUUAAACCGGUCGUCUGAGUUAAAAUUUUGAAUAAAUCAAAACUUUCAACAACGGAUCUCUUGGUUCUCGCAUCGAUGAAGAACGCAGCGAAAUGCGAUAAGUAAUGUGAAUUGCAGAAUUCAGUGAAUCAUCGAAUCUAUGAACGCACAUUGCGCCCCUUGGUAUUCCGAGGGGCAUGCCUGUUCGAGCGUCAUUACACCACUCAAGCUAUGCUUGGUAUUGGGUGCCGUCCUUAGUUGGGCGCGCCUUAAAGACCUCGGCGAGGCCUCACCGGCUUUAGGCGUAGUAGAAUUUAUUCGAACGUCUGUCAAAGGAGAGGACUUCUGCCGACUGAAACCUUUAUUUUUCUAGGUUGACCUCGGAUCAGGUAGGGAUACCGCUGAACUUAAGCAUAUCAAUAAGCGGAGGA